rnacentral:rRNA from 1 species
AACGCGAAGAACCUUACCUGGUCUUGACAUCCACAGAACUUGCCAGAGAUGGCUUGGUGCCUUCGGGAACUGUGAGACAGGUGCUGCAUGGCUGUCGUCAGCUCGUGUUGUGAAAUGUUGGGUUAAGUCCCGCAACGAGCGCAACCCUUAUCCUUUGUUGCCAGCGGUCCGGCCGGGAACUCAAAGGAGACUGCCAGUGAUAAACUGGAGGAAGGUGGGGAUGACGUCAAGUCAUCAUGGCCCUUACGACCAGGGCUACACACGUGCUACAAUGGCGCAUACUAAGAGAAGCGACCUCGCGAGAGCAAGCGGACCUCAUAAA